rnacentral:rRNA from 1 species
GACGAACGCUGGCGGCGUGCUUAACACAUGCAAGUCGAACGGAAAGGCCCUGCUUGCAGGGUGCUCGAGUGGCGAACGGGUGAGUAACACGUGGGUGAUCUGCCCCUUACUUUGGGAUAAGCCUGGGAAACUGGGUCUAAUACUGGAUAGGACCAUGCUGUAGGUGGUGUGGUGGAAAGAUUAGUUUCGGUAAGGGAUGAGCUCGCGGCCUAUCAGCUUGUUGGUGGGGUAAUGGCCUACCAAGGCGUCGACGGGUAGCCGGCCUGAGGGGGUGGACGGCCACGUUGGGACUGAGAAACGGCCCAGACUCCUACGGGAGGCAGCAGUGGGGAAUAUUGCACAAUGGGCGCAAGCCUGAUGCAGCGACGCCGCGUGGGGGAUGACGGCCUUCGGGUUGUAAACUCCUUUCAGCCAUGACGAAGCCCUUGUGGUGACGGUAGUGGUAGAAGAAGCACCGGCUAACUACGUG